AAAAACAAGCGCCGGCCCCGGCGUCCGCCGCGCAGUUAGGAAACUGACUGUCGCUCUCUCCGGCCUCGGCGCUGCUUCGGACGCCCCGGCACCGGCCCCCGUUGCUUUGUAGCAUUCUGCAGCUGGGCUGCAGGCGCCGUGGGCCUCCGCCAGUUGUGUUCGAGACGCGGUUCGGCCACAGAAGUUUUAGCUGUGUGACUUUUGGCAAGUCAGUGGCCCUCUCUGGGCCUCAGGUGCCUUUUUUUGCUGUGAGACCAGCGACUGUAUUUUUAACCCUGAUUCUAUCCCUAGAUCUACCCAACACAUAGUAGGUGCUCAAAAGAUAUUUAUGAGUGAAUGAAUGCAUCAUGAGAAGAAAUUGGACCAGAUGAGGCCCUGUGAAGCUGCUUGGGUCUUUUUUUGUUCUUUUUUUUUUUUUUUUCUCUUCUGAGUGUCCCUGGCCUGGACUAGAAAUUCUCCAUCCUUCGGCCUUCUGCGAGACUGCAGGAACAUUACUUUUGAAGGAUGCUAAGGAAUCCGAGGGAUGAAAAAAAUCAAGAGAUUGCAAUGAUGUCACAAAACAAAGAAACAAGUGCAGCAUCUUCACUCCGAAGCAGAAAUUUGCCAAAAAAGCAUCCUCUUUUUAUCAGAAAAUAAAAUAUCCUGGUUUCUUAGCCUGGCA
rnacentral:antisense_RNA from 1 species